GACGAACGCUGGCGGCGUGCUUAACACAUGCAAGUCGAACGGAAAGGCCCUUCGGGGUACUCGAGUGGCGAACGGGUGAGAAACACGUGGGUGAUCUGCCCUGCACUUUGGGAUAAGCCUGGGAAACUGGGUCUAAUACCGGAUAGGACUACGGCCUGCAUGGGUUGUGGUGGAAAGCUUUUGCGGUGUGGGAUGGGCCCGCGGCCUAUCAGCUUGUUGGUGGGUGAUGGCCUACCAAGGCGACGACGGGUAGCCGGCCUGAGAGGGUGACCGGCCACACUGGGACUGAGAUACGGCCCAGACUCCUACGGGAGGCAGCAGCGGGGAAUAUUGCACAAUGGGCGCAAGCCUGAUGCAGCGACGCCGCGU
rnacentral:rRNA from 1 species